rnacentral:rRNA from 1 species
UACGAAGGGGGCUAGCGUUGUUCGGAAUUACUGGGCGUAAAGCGUGCGCAGGCGGCUUUCCAAGUCAGUGGUGAAAGCCCGGAGCUCAACUCCGGAAAUGCCAUUGAAACUGUGAAGCUUGAGAACGAGAGAGGUGAGUGGAAUUCCCAGUGUAGAGGUGAAAAUUCGUAGAUAUUGGGAAGAACACCAGUGGCGAAGGCGGCUCACUGGCUCGUAACUGACGCUCAUGCACGACAGCGUGGGGAUCAAACAGG